rnacentral:rRNA from 1 species
UACGGAGGAUCCGAGCGUUAUCCGGAAUGAUUGGGCGUAAAGCGUCCGCAGGUGGCAGUUCAAGUCUGCUGUCAAAGACCGGGGCUUAACUUCGGAAAGGCAGUGGAAACUGAACAGCUAGAGUAUGGUAGGGGCAGAGGGAAUUCCUGGUGUAGCGGUGAAAUGCGUAGAGAUCAGGAAGAACAUCGGUGGCGAAGGCGCUCUGCUGGACCAUAACUGACACUCAGGGACGAAAGCUAGGGGAGCGAAUGGG